rnacentral:lncRNA from 10 species
UUCAGGCGUGGUGGCACACGCCUGUAAACCCAGCUACUUAGGAAGCUGAGGCAGGAGAAUUGCUUGAACUUGGGAGGCAGAGGUUGCAGUGAGCUGAGGUCGCGCCACUAUACUCUAGCCUGGGUGACAGAGAGGAAGGUCAGAGUGACUUUCCUCAAAGAGGUACCAUAGUAAUUCUUCCCCCGGCCCCGCCCCCAGACGGAGUCUUGGUUUGUCGCCCAGGCUGGAGUGCAAUGGUGUGAUCUUGGCUCACUGCAACCUCUGCCUCCCAGGUUCAAGCAAUUCUCCUGC